rnacentral:rRNA from 1 species
UGAGUACAGUGGCGAACGGGUGAGUAACACGUGGGCAACCUGCCCCUCGCAGGGGGACAACCGGAGGAAACUCCGGCUAAUACCCCGUAAGCUCUCGGGAUCGAGUGACCCCGGGAGGAAAGGUAGCUUCGGCCAUCCGGCGAGGGAUGGGCCCGCGGUACAUUAGCUAGUUGGUGGGGUAACGGCCCACCAAGGCGACGAUGUAUAGCUGGUCUGAGAGGAUGAUCAGCCACACUGGGACUGAGACACGGCCCAGACUCCUACGGGAGGCAGCAGUCGGGAAUCUUGCGCAAUGGGCGAAAGCCUGACGCAGCAACGCCGUGUGGGUGAGGAAGGCCCUAGGGUCGUAAAGCCCUGUUGUUGGGGACGAAGGGCGAAGGGUUAAUAGCCCCUAGCUUGACGGUACCCUUCGAGGAAGCCCCGGCUAACUACGUGCCAGCAGCCGCGGUAAUACGUAGGGGGCGAGCGUUGUCCGGAAUUAUUGGGCGUAAAGAGCGUGUAGGCGGUCUGGUAAGUCCGCCGUGAAAACCCAGGGCUCAACCCUGGGCGUGCGGUGGAAACUGCCAGGCUAGAGGAUGGUAGAGGCGAGUGGAAUUCCGAGUGUAGCGGUGAAGUGCGCAGAUAUUCGGAGGAACACCAGUAGCGAAGGCGGCUCGCUGGGCCAUUCCUGACGCUGAGACGCGAAAGCAUGGGGAGCAAACAGGAUUAGAUACCCUGGUAGUCCAUGCCGUAAACGAUGAACACUAGGUG